rnacentral:rRNA from 1 species
UACAGAGGUGGCAAGCGUUGUUCGGAAUUACUGGGCGUAAAGGGCGCGUAGGCGGCCUUCUAAGUCAGACGUGAAAUCCCCAGGCUUAACUUGGGAACUGCGUCUGAUACUGGGAGGCUUGAGUGCGGGAGAGGGAUGUGGAAUUCCAGGUGUAGCGGUGAAAUGCGUAGAUAUCUGGAGGAACACCGGUGGCGAAGGCG